AAAUGUUGCAUUAGAGUCCUGUCAGCUAAAGGACUUCUUGUGAUACACAGAUCAUGUGUGGUAUUGAUCCGUUCUUCAGUAUCCACGAGAAGAACUCUGCACAUCAGCAUCUGUCGUAUUGGUGGAUGGAGUUCUGCAUUUUUGACCAGGAAACAUAUGAACCAGAUGGGGCGGCUGGUGCUGAGGGGUAGAGUGGUCGUCCUCGAACCUGAAGACAGGAUCAAUUCUACUGCCUGUGCCUGAGUGGAACACACCUCUGAAAACCCAAUGAAACUGAAGGAUUUCCACCGAUGUGAGGGCAACCCAGUGGUGUGAUGGGAUCGUUCUGCCUCCUCAUAUGUUGUCCUAAGCCCACACAGGACGCCUGCAUAUGUGUAUGUACCUGGAUGAGGUAGUGGGAGCAGAGGCUGAGGAGCUCCAGUAACUGAAGGUGGCUUCCUGCAGACAGGACG